UGGCCUACAGUGUCUCUAAUGCUAUGAUCAUUGCUGCCAUUCAUCCACUGGAAUACUGUAGAAUGUUUAGCUAUAACACUCUAGAUGGUCCCUCUCUCCUACAAACCCUGUCCCUGUUUUCAUUUUAUAAGAUCUCAGUCUCUCCUAAUUUAAUGAAACUCUGUGUCUCCACUAAAACCCACCACAUCAUUGCCGUUGAUUUAGGGAUUUAUUUCACCAUGUUCUCCUUGCAUUAUUCUA